AUCAUCACCGGGAAUGAUGAUGCUGAAAUUGCUCGUCUACAAGAGGAUAUGUCGGUGAGGUUUGAGAUGAAGAAGUUGGGUGAGUUGAACAAUUUUCUUGGUUUGGAGGUCGAAAGGGUAAAGGAUGGAAUAUUUGUCGGCCAACAAA